rnacentral:pre_miRNA from 1 species
AAAAAAGAAAACCCUGGGUUUUCAUGUCUAAUUUUGAUUGUCUGUCUUAUAUGAAAUUUUUUUUAUAAUUCGUAUUUUCAUUGUUGCUAGAUGAUAAAACAUGAUUAAUAUUUUAUGCGCGACUUGUCUUUUUAAUUUUUUUUUAUAAUUUGUUCAAAUAAGAUGAAAACGUUCGGUACGGAAACC